rfam:Equus caballus chromosome 3, whole genome shotgun sequence.
AUUUUAGUAAAAGUAUGUCUUAUGUAAUAUUUGGGACAUAUUUAUACUAAAA